UAAGCUAAUGAUCAAAAAUUUGUUCGGAAUUACAAUUUAUUCGAAAAUUAUGUUUUGUUUUAAUUUAAAGAUUUUGAUGGAAUUUUGAUGUUUCCGUAAAAGUUGUUUGUGAGCAAAUUACAACUCAUCUGAGAAUGAACGAAGAGACUGAACGAGUUAGUAAGUUGGACAUCAUACAAAUAUCUAGAUAUUUUUGAAAUAUAUUAUUAUUUUAUGAUAAUAUCUAGAUAUUUUUUAAUAUAUUAUUAUUUUAUUAAAUUAAUGAUAUAAUAUUAAGUAAUAAUUAUUAUUAUUGUGGUUAUAUAUACAUGGUUGUGGACUAUGUGAAUGAAUCAAUUAAUUUUCCUCUUUCACGCUUCUCCCUCUGUAAAAUAGAAACAGCUCCUCCUUUGUCUUCAAACUUAACACCGCCGGUCCUUUCCUUUGCACCAUUUCCGACCACCACAUACUCAAAACAGAAAAAACCAACAUCACCACUAUUAUCCUCUCUUUCCCCUCUUUCUUUGCGUCAAAUUUAUUUUAUGAUCGGAACACUUUCUACCGGCGACCACCGUACCGGAAAUCAUCACCAAAGUGCCGAAAUUACCUGAGACUGUCAUGAAAUCUUUUUGUAAUGGUUGAAAGUAUGAAUCGAAUAGGAGACAUCGUCGAGAGACGGAUUGUGCUCGCGUAAUGUAAGUUGAACGUGUGGGAAGCUUGCAAAGGCUGUUAGCAAUUGGGGAUAGUUAAGGUAUCCUGGUGUCGUGAAGACUUGCAAGAUGUGAAUGUCUUUGGCUAGGAGUUCAAAAUCAGCUUAGGGUUUUGUUUCAGAGUGUUGUCUGUGUUUGUUUGGGAAGUUUGUUGUUAAAGCUGAAUGCUUAAUUUGUGUGUGUGGUUUUGACCUUUACUUGUUGUCAAAUACUCUGUACGCAAUUAUAUUCAAGUGGUCAAAAAUUUUAUGACCUUGGGCAUUGCGCUGGGCCUAUUUAUGGAAAAGACUUAGACCGAACAGCUCGUACUCUGAUUUAUCAUUUUUAUUAUUCCUAAAAGGACAGUGGUCCAUAUUUUGUAAGGCAUUAAUUUUAAAAAAAAUACACUCGCGCUGUUAAAAAUACACCGUACCGGAAAUCAUCACCAAAGUGCCGAAAUUACCUGAGACUGUCAUGAAAUCUUUUUGUAAUGGUAAAUGGCCAAGAUAAAUCCUGCAUUAUGGAUGUAGUUGGGUUGUAUUAAUUUAAACAAGUGGUGUAUUUUAAAAGGUUGAAAGUAUGAAUCGAAUAGGAGACAUCGUCGAGAGACGGAUUGUGCUCGCGUAAUGUAAGUUGAACGUGUGGGAAGCUUGCAAAGGCUGUUAGCAAUUGGGGAUAGUUAAGGUAUCCUGGUGUCGUGAAGACUUGCAAGAUGUGAAUGUCUUUGGCUAGGAGUUCAAAAUCAGCUUAGGGUUUUGUUUCAGAGUGUUGUCUGUGUUUGUUUGGGAAGUUUGUUGUUAAAGCUGAAUGCUUAAUUUGUGUGUGUGGUUUUGACCUUUACUUGUUGUCAAAUACUCUGUACGCAAUUAUAUUCAAGUGGUCAAAAAUUUUAUGACCUUGGGCAUUGCGCUGGGCCUAUUUAUGGAAAAGACUUAGACCGAACAGCUCGUACUCUGAUUUAUCAUUUUUAUUAUUCCUAAAAGGACAGUGGUCCAUAUUUUGUAAGGCAUUAAUUUUAAAAAAAA